rnacentral:rRNA from 1 species
UACAGAGGGUGCGAGCGUUAAUCGGAAUUACUGGGCGUAAAGCGUGCGUAGACGGCUAUCUAAGUCGGGUGUGAAAGCCCCGGGCUCAACCUGGGAAUUGCAUUCGAGACUGAAUAGCUAGGGUACGGUAGAGGGAAGUGGAAUUUCCGGUGUAGCGGUGAAAUGCGUAGAUAUCGGAAGGAACAUCAGUGGCGAAGGCGGCUACCUGGACAAUUGCUGACGCUCAGGCACGAAAGCGUGGGGAGCAAAAGGG